AAGUAGCCCUGAUGGAAACGGCAUCCUUUUUCUUGUUUCUUUAACAAGGAAAAGAUACAGUGAACAGCAGGAAUAGCU
rnacentral:sRNA from 1 species